rnacentral:lncRNA from 1 species
AAUAUAAUAAAGAUCAAGACGAGUUGCUCCAGGUCCAGAUAUCUCCCUUCGAGAUUGCCAGCAUCAGUCUAAGUAGCUUAAGUUUUUGAAGAAAAAAGGUAGAGAAGGAAGGGUGGUUGAAGCAGGACCAUAAGAAGUACCUUUAGCAUUUGAAGUACCCGGUUCAGAGCCAGGACAUCUUUGGCAUAUCCACCAGCAGCGCCUUUGGCAUGAUAGGCAGGCAGCAUAUCUUGAUCCAUCGAUAGCAGAGCCACCGAGUGAAUGACCUUAACGAUCGUUUUAGAAGUAGCGCUUUACUAGCCUGAGGACUCAAAGCAAGG